rnacentral:rRNA from 1 species
CCUACGGGUGGCAGCAGUGGGGAAUAUUGCACAAUGGGGGAAACCCUGAUGCAGCAACGCCGCGUGAGUGAAGAAGUAUUUCGGUAUGUAAAGCUCUAUCAGCAGGGAAGAAAAUGACGGUACAUGAGUAAGAAGCACCGGCUAACUCCGUGACAGCAGCCGCGGUAAUACGUAGAGGGCAAGCUUUAUCCGGAUUGACUGGGUGUAAAGGGAGCGUAGACGGCGAUGCAAGUCUGAAGUGAAAGCGCGGGGCGAAACCCCGGGACUGCUGUGGAAGCUGUAUGGCUGGAGUGCUGGAGAGGCUAGUGGAAUUCCUAGUGUAGCGGUGAAAGGCGUAGAUAUUAGGAAGAACACCAGUGGCGAAGGCGGCGUGCUGGACAGUAACAGACGUUGAGGCUCGAAAGCGUGGGGAGCAAAUAGGAUUAGAUACCCUAGUAGUC